AUAUACCUACUGUGUGCCACGCAUAGUUGGGGUAUUUAAUGAAUGAUGCACAGUCCUUGUUUCCAAGGAAACUUCCCCCAGUCUCUGUCAUUUUUGGGGGAUUGCCAGGCACAUGUGAGGCAUUCAAUAAAUGUGUAUUGAACAGAAAGGAAUUCCCAAGGCACUGUGGGAAAUAAAUCUGCAUGAGGUUGAAAUGUACCCAGAGAAGAGAUAGCCUGCACCAUUUCAUACUUAAAUCCCCUUGGACAUACGGCCCCAGUACAGAAAAGACAUUUUUCUCCCACAGGUAGAAAUAACUUCUGCCCAGAUCUUGGCACCAUGGGGUUGAGUGGGGAGCACUCAGUUGCUCCCUCCAAUAAAGCUAAACACCAGCUCCCCUCGCUGGUGGCUUCUCAGGUUUUAUUAGCACUUCCAGAAGACUUUGCCAUCCACAGAAGACGAGUUAUCCGAGAGCCAUGAUGAAUCUCUUCCUCACAAACUCACAGGCUGUCUUGAUCCAUCAUCAGAGAGGACCUGGAGCUGGCCAGCACCCUCCCAAGUUCGGGAGCUCAAUAUGGAGGGCCCGUUCCAGGUCUACCUCUCAUCCCUUCAGGGAAUAAUCCUUGCUCAUGGAGGUAGUGCCCUGUCCUCCCAUUUUCCCAUCAGCUGAGCAACAUUACCAGGUGCACCUUCCCCCAGGACUCCUGCUCCAACAUUCACAAAGGUUUUCUGUCAUCUUCUCUGACCAAGAAGCUCUGGCCUGGUGCCAAGAUCUCUCACAGUCUGAGCCCCCUAGGCCCAUCCAUCUUUUUUUUUCUUUGUCCCGUGCCAUCGUUUGGUGUCCUAGCGCCCUUCCCCAGGAAGGUUGGAGGAAUAGUGGGUUACUCUGUAUGGAGCAAAUAUGUGAAUAAAUAAAGCCUUAGAUCUGUGCCUGGGUUCUGAC
rnacentral:lncRNA from 10 species